rnacentral:lncRNA from 1 species
CCCCCCUCCCCUUGGAGCAAGAACCCAAAACUCAAUUCCAGACUUUCCUUUGUAGUAAGAAACCUUGUAGCAUAAUUUCAGAGAGAUCCAUUCACUUAAACCCAAGUUAUUGCCUGUAAUCUAGAAAAAUGCUUCUUUUUGGCCCUUUUUUGGCCCCUUAUUCCUAAAUGUUCAGGGAUAUGAACCCGAAACUAAAUCAAAGCCUUCCAUUCGUUAUAUUGAACCUUAUGGUAUAAUGUUAGAGAGUUCCAUACAGUUAUACAUAAGUUUUUGUACCGAAACUACAAAAAUGCUUGAUUUUGGCCCCUUUUUGGCCCUUAAUUCCUAGACUGUUUGCCCCAUAACCCUUAAAAUAAAUCUAAACCCUCUACUUUAUGGUAUGAACAUUGUUGUACAAUAUCAGAGCAAUUGAAAUACUUAUACACAACUUAUUGUCCUGGACCAGAUAAAUACUUGUUUUGGGCCCCUAAUUUCCAAACCGUUGGGACCAUAACCCCAAAAUCAAUCCCAAUUUUCCUUUUGAGGUUUACAAACAUUGAGUUUAAAUGUUAAUGAUUUCUAUUUACUUAUACUAAAGUUAUUAUCCGGAAACCAUUCGUCGUCAGACGACGAUGCAGACGUGAUACCAAUAUACGACCAAAUUUUUUUUUAUUUUUGCGGUUGUAUAAAAAUGUACUAGACAUCAUUCUGCACCACGCAUUUAUAUGUAUAUUAAUGUAAAACUAUGCAUAAAACAAGUGCAAAAGCACACAUACAUAUACAAAUGUAAUAUAAAAACAUAAUAUUCACAUACAUUUACCAUAAAAUACUUAUAUGCAUAAAAAUGGUUAAAAAGUUUUUUCAGAAAUCAAUGCAAGGUAAGAAAAUGUGUAUGGUUGGAGGCCGAAACUGUAGCUACAGUACAUUAAAUUGAUAAAUCGUGCAAUUCUUUAUUUUAGUAUCUAAACAUGCUAAAAGUAAAAGACUUAUUUUGAAAGACAAUUUUCUAAUGUUAAUAUUUAACAUGUUUAACCAAUAAUGUUAAUAAAUGUUUUUUUCAACUAUUUUUGUUCUCAGUCAAAUGCA